UAACUCGCAGAGUAGAAGUUACUAGACAAACAGAAACUAGACCAACAGGGGUUCCAGAAAGUAGAAAGACAAAAAAGAGGGAAAACUCAAAAUCAAGAGGACACUGAUCAAACGUUGACCAUUAACGAUAUUUUUUGUUGGUUGCACGGCGUCAUUUUGUUUUGCACGAUACGCGUCAAAAAAUUAUUUUUGCUAUGAAUACACGACGAAAACAAUUUGUUUUUAAAUAAUAUGAUUUAAACAAUUGAAUUUGUAUUGAACAUUUUUUUCAAAAGUUUAUAAAAAUAAUUUUGCUAAAAUGUAAAACAUGUUACGUACUAUCGAGGUAUCGAGAAGUAAUUAUGUAAUGAAUUAAAAGAACAAAAGAGCAAAAUGUUAAA
rnacentral:lncRNA from 1 species